rnacentral:lncRNA from 1 species
CCCCAGUGCAGAGAACAAAAACAACGGUCGCUCGCUCUCUCCGCAAAACAAACACCAGCUCCAGCUAGAAGAAGGCAAGACACGGCCCAGGACUUGGCUUCUGGCUGCAAACAUCGCGUUCCCCAAGCUCCGGGUGCCGCGCGGAGCGCGUGGGAGCCGUGGGUGCUCCGCGCCCGGGCCGCGCCACCGCCUUCCUAGCGCUCGCCCCCAUCUUCCUUCCUCGCCCGGAGCCCUCGCUCCAGGCUGCCCAAAGCGCUAAAUUUAAACGGCUCGCGCUCUGCAAACUCCGCAGACUCGAGGGCGCCGAGGCCUGGGAGGCGGGGAGCUGCGGGCGGGUCGGGGCGUAGGGUGAGAGUGUGUGUGCGUAUGUGUGUGUGUGUUGGGGGGACACCGGCGCCGCGCCGCCCCGGGAGGAGACGGCGGCCCGCUCCGCGCUGCACAAUGGAGCUCGCGCUCUGCCCGCCGCCGCCGGCAUCACGGCCCCGGCGCGCGGGAAGCCGCUUUCAUGUGACUUGCACAAAAAAACGAAAUGGCUUCUGGGGCCGGCUGCGAACCCCCCUCUCCCGAGAGCCGAGCUCGGAGCUCCGGGCUCCGGGCUGCAGCCGCCACCGCCACCGCCACUGCCUCCGCCGCCGCGCCAGGUGGGCGACCGGCGCCAAGCACACCUGGGCAGCGGACGCAGCCCCCGCGGGGCGCAGGUGACCCCGGCCGCGCGCCCUCGCCAACUCCGGGCCCGGGGCCGCUGCGCCCCGCCGCUCUGCGCGCUGGGUCCCGGCUUGCUGGCGGCCGC